rnacentral:rRNA from 1 species
GACGAACGCUGGCGGCGUGCUUAACACAUGCAAGUCGAACGCUGAAGCACCAGCUUGCUGGUGUGGAUGAGUGGCGAACGGGUGAGUAAUACGUGAGUAACCUGCCCUUGACUCUGGGAUAAGCCCGGGAAACUGGGUCUAAUACUGGAUGCUACAUGUCACCGCAUGGUGGUGUGUGGAAAGGGUUUACUGGUCUUGGAUGGGCUCACGGCCUAUCAGCUUGUUGGUGAGGUAAUGGCUCACCAAGGCGACGACGGGUAGCCGGCCUGAGAGGGUGACCGGCCACACUGGGACUGAGACACGGCCCAGACUCCUACGGGAGGCAGCAGUGGGGAAUAUUGCACAAUGGGCGAAAGCCUGAUGCAGCGACGCCGCGUGAGGGAUGACGGCCUUCGGGUUGUAAACCUCUUUCAGCAGGGAAGAAGCCACAAGUGACGGUACCUGCAGAAGAAGCGCCGGCUAACUACGUG